rnacentral:rRNA from 1 species
CCUACGGGUGGCAGCAGUGAGGAAUAUUGGUCAAUGGCCGGAAGGCUGAACCAGCCAAGCCGCGUGAAGGACGAAGGUGCCAAGCAUUGUAAACUUCUUUUGUCAAGGGACAAAAUCAGGCUCGAGAGCCUGACCGAGGGUACUUGAAGAAAAAGCAUCGGCUAACUCCGUGCCAGCAGCCGCGGUAAUACGGAGGAUGCGAGCGUUAUCCGGAUUUAUUGGGUUUAAAGGGAGCGUAGGUGGAUUGUUAAGUCAGUUGUGAAAGUUUGCGGCUCAACCGUAAAAUUGCAGUUGAAACUGGCAGUCUUGAGUACAGUAGAGGUGGGCGGAAUUCGUGGUGUAGCGGUGAAAUGCUUAGAUAUCACGAAGAACUCCGAUUGCGAAGGCAGUUCACUGGACUGCAACUGACACUGAGGCUCGAAAGUGUGGGUAUCAAACAGGAUUAGAUACCCUAGUAGUC